AGUUACCUGUAUCACCUGUGCUUCACGUGCGUCAGUUACCUGCAUCACUUGCAUUACCUACGUCACAGACUGGAUAAAAGAUACAGACCCUGACCCAUAGCGCUUUCUCUCCCCCCCCCUUCCUCAUUUCUUCCCCUCACCCCCCCCCGCCCCCCUUUCAGAGGUGCCUAAGUCAGUAAAGGCCUCUCAUGUGAUACCUGUGCUGGCUUGGCAUGAUCUUUCCUGGAAUGCACCGUCUCCUAUAACAGUCACAGGAGGAUAUGGUAUCUUCUUCUGGCCUCUGUGGGCACUGAACACGUGGUUAUAAAAAUACAGGCAGGGUCUCCCUGUAAGAAAAGCAUUUUGUGCCAGGGUGAAGUGGUUGUGUGAAGGAGGGCCUAUUAAGUGCUUAUGAAUUAAGUAGAGGAGAAAGCAAGGAUUCUGGGAAAUUUGAUAAACUCUGUCACAUCUUGACUGUGGGCUGCUCAGCCGCUGUCUUGCUAUCAGAAGAUGCCAGCAAUGGAAAAAGUCAGGAACGUUAUCUCAGGGACAAAACCAGCUGACAUAGGGUAAUCUUUGUUGUCACCCUA
rnacentral:lncRNA from 1 species